rnacentral:rRNA from 1 species
GUAGGUGGCAAGCGUUGUCCGGAAUUAUUGGGCGUAAAGCGCGCGCAGGCGGUUCUUUAAGUCUGAUGGUGAAAGCCCACGGCUCAACCGUGGAGGGUCAUUGGAAACUGGAGAACUUGAGUACAGAAGAGGAAAGCGGAAUUCCACGUGUAGCGGUGAAAUGCGUAGAGAUGUGGAGGAACACCAGUGGCGAAGGCGGCUUUCCGGUCUUGUAACUGACGCUGAGGCGCGAAAGCGUGGGGAGCAAACAGGAUUAGAUACCCUGGUAGUCCACGCCGUAAACGAUGAGUGCUAAGUGUUAGGGGGUUUCCGCCCCCCUUAGUGCUGCAGCUAACGCAUUAAGCACUCCGCCUGGGAGUACGGCCGCAAGGCUG